rnacentral:lncRNA from 1 species
GCUGUUACGGUUUAGGAAGGAUCUCAUCGCAGUCACUGCUGAUAUCCAACAGAUGUUUUAUGGAUUCCUGGUAAAGCACGACCACAGAGACUACCUGAGAUUCCUGUGGCAUAAAGACAAUGACCUAUCCAAAGAGAUAGAAGAAUAUCGCAUGCGAGUGCAUGUCUUUGGCAAUAGCCCAUCCCCGGCGGUUGCUAUCUACGGUCUGCGGCGAGCUGCUCAGAAAGGAGAACCAAAGUAUGGAGCUGACACAAGGCACUUUGUUGAAAGACACUUCUAUGUGGACGAUGGGCUCAUAUCCCUUCCUACAGAGUCUACAGCUAUAGACCUACUGAAGCGUACUUGUGCAUCACUUGCAGAGUCUAACCUGAAGCUGCACAAAAUCGCAUCAAACAGCAUCACCGUGAUGAAAGCCUUCAAACCAGAAGAACUGGCCUCAGGCAUCCAAGACCUGGGUCUAGAUGAUGAGACUCUGCCGGCCCAAAGGAGCCUAGGCCUAUGCUGGGACAUCAGCACAGAUAUGUUCACCUUUAAAGUAGCUGUCACUGACAAGCCUUACACCCGUCGUGGGGUGCUAUCAGUCGUCAACAGCAUCUUUGACCCCUUGGGUCUGGCAGCACCAGUGACGAUCAGAGGCAGAUUGCUGUUGCGGGAGCUGUCCAGUGGAGUUCAGGAUUGGGAUGCUCCUCUGCCAGAUGAAAAGAUGAGCAAAUGGGAAGUAUGGAAAUCGUCACUCGAGGAGCUAAGCAGCCUCCACGUGCCUCGCUGCUAUAUACCCAAGUCACUCUCAAGACCUAUGUACACGGAACUGUGUCUUUUUUCCGAUGCCUCAAACUGGGCCAUAGGGGCAGUAGCUUAUCUAAGAGCUGUCACUGAAGAUGGCCGUUGUGAAGUUGGAUUUGUCCUGGGAAAGGCAAAACUAUCACCGCAGCCAGAGCCCACAAUCCCACGCCUUGAGCUUUGUGGGGCCGUCCUGGCGGUUGAGAUAGCGGAGCUGAUCUUAGACGAACUGGACCACAAGCCGGACGCUGUACAAUUCUACUGCGACAGCAGGGUGGUCCUCGGAUACAUCUGUAAUGACUCAAAGCGAUUCUUUGUCUACGUACACAAUCGCGUGAAUCGCAUACGCCAGUCAACGUCCCCUGAGCAGUGGCAUUACGUCCCUUCAGAAGAGAACCCAGCCGACUUAGCCACCAGAUCUGUGGCUGCAUCACAGCUCAUGAACACAAUGUGGUUCAAGGGACCUGACUUCCUCUAUAAGCCUCCAAAGCCAGAGAAGCACGAGCACUUUGAACUGAUAGACCCUGAAAUGGACGUGGACGUCAGACCGCAAGUAACGGCUCUCGCUACCCACAUUGAAGCUAAGCGACUUGGCUCUGAAAGAUUCCAGCAUUUUUCCACAUGGAACUCCUUGUUGAGAGCUGUUUCCCUCUUGAUACAUCAGGCACGUUCCCACAAGUCAGGCUCCACC